UCAGAGGCACUGAGGAAGCAGAGGUAAAAAGUUGGUUCCCAAACGAGAAGGGAAUCCUUUGAAAAAGCCAACUUUAAGUCCCCUGCUAUGACUCUUCAGGGAGAUUACAGAAUCAACACCCAGAUUGAAUGGACUUUCAGAAAUAUAAAGCCAUAAUUAUUUCCUCAGUUAUGAAGAUAUUUACUCUUUAGGCAAGAGGGGAACUCACAUGUGUCUUCCCCUUGAGCCGCCUUCUAUCAGUUCCCAGGCAAAGUAAAGCAGGGAUUGGCUACAGAAGGUGAUUUCUUCACCUGACCUAGGUAUUAGAGAUGGCCACGAAGGCGGAAAGUAAACCCCGGGAUGUCAGUCCUGCGUCAGCUUCCAAUACAAGGUGACACACGAGCCUUGGAAAACACCUUGAACGUUAAUCUUCUCCAACUAUGCUGUGGAUUUACCUCAAGAUGCCCCUGGACAAAUUAUGAAAUAGAAGGUUCACUUUCAGGAAUUCCAUCUCUUCUUGGGAUAUUUCUUGUCCUUGAAAUGAAACUGCAGGGGAUAUUCACAAAUAUAUUUACACAAUAAAUUUGAAGCUCAAAGGAACUUUU